CCUCGCCCAGGUACUGCACACCAAUUUACUGCUCCCUCGCCAAGGUACUGCACUCCAAUUUACUGCUCCCUCGCCCAGGUACUGCACUCCAAUUUACUGCUCCCUCGCCCAGGUACUGCACUCCAAUUUACUGCUCACUAGUCCAGGUACUGCACUCCAAUUUGCUGCUCCCUAGCCGAGGUACUGCACUCCAAUUUACUGCUCCCUAGCCGAGGUACUGCACUCCAAUUUACUGCUCUUUAGCCGAGGUACUGUACUCCAAUUUACUGCUCCCUAGCCCAGAUACUGCACUCCGAUUUACUGCGGUGUCGUAUAAAAUUGUUUGAAACUUCUAGAUUUUUUAU